GACGAACGCUGGCGGCGUGCCUAAUACAUGCAAGUAGAACGCUGAAGGAGGAGCUUGCUUCUCUGGAUGAGUUGCGAACGGGUGAGUAACGCGAAGGUAACCUGCCUGGUAGCGGGGGAUAACUAUUGGAAACGAUAGCUAAUACCGCAUAAGAGUAGAUGUCGCAUGACAUUUGCUUAAAAGGUGCAAUUGCAUCACUACCAGAUGGACCUGCGUUGUAUUAGCUAGUUGGUGAGGUAACGGCUCACCAAGGCAACGAUACAUAGCCGACCUGAGAGGGUGAUCGGCCACACUGGGACUGAGACACGGCCCAGACUCCUACGGGAGGCAGCAGGAGGGAAUCUUCGGCAAUGGACGGAAGUCUGACCGAGCAACGCCGCGUGAGUGAAGAAGGUUUUCGGAUCGUAAAGCUCUGUUGUAAGAGAAGAACGAGUGUGAGAGUGGAAAGUUCACACUGUGACGGUAUCUUACCAGAAAGGGACGGCUAACUACGUG
rnacentral:rRNA from 1 species